rnacentral:rRNA from 1 species
GGCUCAGGAUGAACGCUAGCGGCAGGCUUAACACAUGCAAGUCGAGGGGCAGCAUGAGACGGAGAUUCGUCGAAGUCUUGAUGGCGACCGGCGCAAGGGUGCGUAACGCGUGAGCAACUUGCCCGUUUCUGGGGAAUAACCGGUGGAAACGCCGACUAAUACCCCAUAGUAUUGACUUUGGGCAUCCUUAGUCAAUUAAAGAAUUUCGGAAACGGAUAGGCUCGCGUGACAUUAGCUAGAUGGCGGGGUAACGGCCCACCAUGGCAACGAUGUCUAGGGGUUCUGAGAGGAAGGUCCCCCACACUGGAACUGAGGCACGGUCCAGACUCCUACGGGAGGCAGCAGUGAGGAAUAUUGGUCAAUGGUCUAACGACUGAACCAGCCAUGCCGCGUGAAGGUCACGGCCCUAUGGGUCUUAAACUUCUUUUGUAAGGGAGCAAUAAGCUUUACGUGUAGAGUGAUGAGAGUACCUUACGAAUAAGCAUCGGCUAACUCCGUG